CGGAAGCUUUAACAUGCAAGUCGAACGGUAACAGGUCUUCGGAUGCUGACGAGUGGCGAACGGGUGAGUAAUAUAUCGGAACGUGCCCAGUCGUGGGGGAUAACGUAGCGAAAGUUACGCUAAUACCGCAUACGAUCUACGGAUGAAAGCGGGGGAUCGCAAGACCUCGCGCGAUUGGAGCGGCCGAUAUCAGAUUAGGUAGUUGGUGGGGUAAAGGCUCACCAAGCCAACGAUCUGUAGCUGGUCUGAGAGGACGACCAGCCACACUGGGACUGAGACACGGCCCAGACUCCUACGGGAGGCAGCAGUGGGGAAUUUUGGACAAUGGACGCAAGUCUGAUCCAGCCAUGCCGCGUGCGGGAAGAAGGCCUUCGGGUUGUAAACCGCUUUUGUCAAGGAAGAAAAGGGUGUUUCUAAUACAGACGCCUCAUGACGGUACCUGAAGAAUAAGCACCGGCUAACUACGUGCCAGCAGCCGCGGUAAUACGUAGGGUGCAAGCGUUAAUCGGAAUUACUGGGCGUAAAGCGUGCGCAGGCGGUUAUGCAAGACAGAGGUGAAAUCCCUGGGCUCAACCUGGGAACUGCCUUUGUGACUGCAUAGCUAGAGUACGGUAGAGGGGGAUGGAAUUCCGCGUGUAGCAGUGAAAUGCGUAGAGAUGUGGAGGAACACCGAUGGCGAAGGCAGCCCCCUGGGUCGAUACUGACGCUCAUGCACGAAAGCGUGGGUAGCAAACAGGAUUAGAUACCCUGGUAGUCCACGCCCUAAACGAUGUCAACUGGGUUGUUGGGUCUUC
rnacentral:rRNA from 1 species